AGAAUCAACGCUGGCGGCGUGCCUAACACAUGCAAGUCGCACGAGAAAGGGACUUCGGUCCUGAGUACAGUGGCGCACGGGUGAGUAACACGUGAAUCAUCUACCUCCGAGUGGGGAAUAACUGAGAGAAAUCUUAGCUAAUACCGCAUAACACUUACGAGUCAAAGCAGCAAUGCGCUUGGAGAGGAGUUCGCGGCAGAUUAGUUAGUUGGCGGGGUAAUGGCCCACCAAGACGAUGAUCUGUAUCCGGCCUGAGAGGGCGCACGGACACACUGGAACUGAAACACGGUCCAGACUCCUACGGGAGGCAGCAGUGGGGAAUUUUGCGCAAUGGGGGAAACCCUGACGCAGCAACGCCGCGUGGAGGAUGAAAUCCCUUGGGAUGUAAACUCCUUUCGAUAGGGAAGAUAAUGACGGUACCUAUAGAAGAAGCCCCGGCUAACUUCGCGCCAGCAGCCGC
rnacentral:rRNA from 1 species